AUGUUUUGCGUAGACGCGUGCGAUCGUUACAGAAACACACAGGCAAAGACUGUCGGGUCAUUCCGGGAAUCCGCACAGCGCCGCGCUCUCGCAGCGCCGAGACGUAAUGACGGCCGGGCGCUUAACGGCCGCGCGCCCAACGGUCACGUGCUCGCGCGCCGCCCAACGGCCGCGGGCCGGGGGCGGCGGUGGGCGGGGCGCUCUCCCCUUUCCGCCGCGCCGCCGUCCUCUGCGCGUCACUUCCGGGUGCCGUCUCGCCGCCGCCGCCGCCGCCAGGAUGAUCCCGCCGGUGCAGGUGUCGCCGCUCAUCAAGCAAGUGAAGAUUCCAUAUUGAAAUGAACAAAAGACUGGAUCAUACCUUCAUUCAUGGAAGUAUCUGGCUAGGCUCUGAACAGUUUAACUCUGCAUGUUAUUCUAUCAAUAAAGUACUUAUAACACUCUGGCUGUUUUUGUUG
rnacentral:lncRNA from 1 species